CUCCUAUUAGUUCAACAGAAAAAAAGGACAUUAACAAGAAUGUAUGCUUUUUUCGGAGGCAGAUUGUUAGCUUAAAUGAAUGGUGACCCCAUUUUUUUAUUCAAUUUUUCUAUUAAGUAUAUGAUAAAGUUCAUUUAUAAAAAAAAAUAUAGCGAAAUCCUAUAUUAGAUUAAAAAAAAAUGAUUUAUACCCGCGAGCCCC
rnacentral:lncRNA from 1 species